rnacentral:piRNA from 1 species
UCCUCAAGUCAUUUGAGUUUGAAGGCAGG